CGGUUCAGUCCUGCGCAGCUCAACUAGGUCAGCGCAAGGUGAUCCCUGAAAGGGGGGCGCUACGGCCGCGCCGCCUCGCUUAUCGCGCCGUCGGCCCUCCUUUCCCUCAGCCCCGCACCCUCUCUUCGCCGCUUCAGACAGUUCGGGAACUGGUUCCCUCCAGGCGCCCUCACCUGUUCUGCAGUCCCUGGAGGCACAAUAGCUUGACAGAUCAGACGUGGGAGAUUAGGUUUUUUCGGCGUCAAAUGUCCUUAUAGGCAACCGCCCUAGACCGGAGCUGGCCACAGUGGACCUAAGAGUCUGUAGCAGCCAGUCCGCGUCACCUUUGUGGGUGGUGGUGUGCGGGGAGAGAACGUGGUGAUUGUGAGGAACAACAGAAGCUCGCUGACAAAGAGGGGCGAGAGGAUUCAGUCACUUUUGAGAAAACCAUUGGAGAGAUCAGAGAAGACAUAGUAUUGUAUCAGCGUUGCUGUGAAAAUCUGUUUACAUCUGCUUUUCGUCCCUGAGAUCUUUUUUGUCUGAGUGCAGCUCUUCUCUCAGAGAUACUGAGUCAGUUCUUUGCUGGACUUGCCCUCUUGGAGAAAGAGAGUAAUCUUGAGAACAGAUAGCAGCCUUAUUUCCACCACCCCAUCUUGCCCCCAGAAGGCGAACCUGUUAAGGGGAAGGGAGACGCUUGACAGCAACUUCAUGUGACUCUGAAGGGCACACUGGAAAGUUUCCUAGAUUGAAGGCAACUCCAGGUUUAAACCUAUCUAUCCAGUUACUGUAUAAUCCAGAUGAAAAUUUAGCAGUGGAACACCAUGGGCAAUUUCAGCCUGGGGACAUUUGGCAGUGUCUGGAAACGGGACAGGAGAGAGGUAUCUGAUAUCUAACAGACUCAGAAUGCUGCUAAACACCCUGCAAUGCACAGGACAGUCCAGCACAACAAGAAAAUGAUCCCACUCCAAAUGUUAAUAAAGCCUGGGCUUCCCAGAUCACAGUGGUAAAGAAUCCACCUGCCAAUGCAGGAGACACAAAA